GGGGGCGGUUCGCCGCCCCCGACGUCGCGAGAAGUCCAUUGAACCUUAUCAUUUAGAGGAAGGAGAAGUCGUAACAAGGUUUCCGUAGGUGAACCUGCGGAAGGAUCAUUA
rnacentral:ncRNA from 1 species